rnacentral:hammerhead_ribozyme from 1 species
GUACUACUGAAGAGUCCCGAAAUAGGACGAAACAACUGUUGAGUAC